AAAUACUCCUGACUGACCGAUAGUGAACCAGUACCGUGAGGGAAAGGCGAAAAGAACCCCGGCGAGGGGAGUGAAAAAGAACCUGAAACCGUGUACGUACAAGCAGUGGGAGCACGCUUAGGCGUGUGACUGCGUACCUUUUGUAUAAUGGGUCAGCGACUUAUAUUCUGUAGCAAGGUUAACCGAAUAGGGGAGCCGAAGGGAAACCGAGUCUUAACUGGGCGUUAAGUUGCAGGGUAUAGACCCGAAACCCGGUGAUCUAGCCAUGGGCAGGUUGAAGGUUGGGUAACACUAACUGGAGGACCGAACCGACUAAUGUUGAAAAAUUAGCGGAUGACUUGUGGCUGGGGGUGAAAGGCCAAUCAAACCGGGAGAUAGCUGGUUCUCCCCGAAAGCUAUUUAGGUAGCGCCUCGUGAAUUCAUCUCCGGGGGUAGAGCACUGUUUCGGCAAGGGGGUCAUCCCGACUUACCAACCCGAUGCAAACUGCGAAUACCGGAGAAUGUUAUCACGGGAGACACACGGCGGGUGCUAACGUCCGUCGUGAAGAGGGAAACAACCCAGACCGCCAGCUAAGGUCCCAAAGUCAUGGUUAAGUGGGAAACGAUGUGGGAAGGCCCAGACAGCCAGGAUGUUGGCUUAGAAGCAGCCAUCAUUUAAAGAAAGCGUAAUAGCUCACUGGUCGAGUCGGCCUGCGCGGAAGAUGUAACGGGGCUAAACCAUGCACCGAAGCUGCGGCAGCGACGCUGAUGCGUUGUUGGGUAGGGGAGCGUUCUGUAAGCCUGUGAAGGUGUGCUGUGAGGCAUGCUGGAGGUAUCAGAAGUGCGAAUGCUGACAUAAGUAACGAUAAAGCGGGUGAAAAGCCCGCUCGCCGGAAGACCAAGGGUUCCUGUCCAACGUUAAUCGGGGCAGGGUGAGUCGACCCCUAAGGCGAGGCCGAAAGGCGUAGUCGAUGGGAAACAGGUUAAUAUUCCUGUACUUGGUGUUACUGCGAAGGGGGGACGGAGAAGGCUAUGUUGGCCGGGCGACGGUUGUCCCGGUUUAAGCGUGUAGGCUGGUUUUCCAGGCAAAUCCGGAAAAUCAAGGCUGAGGCGUGAUGACGAGGCACUACGGUGCUGAAGCAACAAAUGCCCUGCUUCCAGGAAAAGCCUCUAAGCAUCAGGUAACAUCAAAUCGUACCCCAAACCGACACAGGUGGUCAGGUAGAGAAUACCAAGGCGCUUGAGAGAACUCGGGUGAAGGAACUAGGCAAAAUGGUGCCGUAACUUCGGGAGAAGGCACGCUGAUAUGUAGGUGAAGUCCCUCGCGGAUGGAGCUGAAAUCAGUCGAAGAUACCAGCUGGCUGCAACUGUUUAUUAAAAACACAGCACUGUGCAAACACGAAAGUGGACGUAUAC
rnacentral:rRNA from 1 species